AGUCGUCCACUCUUAUUCCGGUUGGAAGAUAGUCACUUGUGGGAUCCGAUCAUCGACGAAUCAAUGAACAAAAAAAUCCCUCCUACUCCUGAAGUCGCCUCUGGGAAGCCUAAAAGACUUGGGACACACAGAUUGGUGCUCCUGCUAUAAUUGCUCCGUGAUGCCAACGGAAGGAAGAGUCUGUCUGUUGCCGCAACAUCGCCCGACAUGGACCGACCUCUUCACUAAAGACAUUACCUGCGUAUGUGAUUUGGACUAUGUCAAAAAUAAAUUGGUGGACAGAGCCCAUAUAAAGGAAACUGCACGGCUAUGCUGCGUCAUAUAAGAAGACCCAUUUAUGUAAAGUCGCCGAUAUGAUGGAAAGGGAUGUACGGAAAGCCGCAUACAGAGCUUUUACAUUGUGGAUUUACGGGCACCUGGGAAGCAAAAGCCGAAGGCCUAUUCCAUCGUGCGUUGUUGACUGUGUCCGUACACAUUUCUCUGCAUUAGACCAUACAUUUAUCGGCAUUAGAACAGCAGAAGAUGAUUACGAUGCUACUGAUAUGUGUACUUAGUAAAUCAGUUGGUGGACCUUUUUUUUGUUUGUUUGUUUUUUUUUGUUCCUUGUCAUAUUUGAUACAUAUACAUAAAUACAUUUUUAGCUACAAAAUCUUUGUCCUUUCCUUAAAAAAAAAACAUGGUAUUUGUGGUUUUAAAAAGUAUAAAUUUCAUUUUUUUUAA